GGCGUGUGUGCCGUGUCGUGUUUGUCAUCCUUCCAGAGAGCUGGGUCUACCAUUCACUUGGCCGGACGUACGCGAUCUGGAUCGAUUACUUUGAAAAAAUUAGAGUGUUUAAAGCAGGCUUACGCUGUGAAUACAUUAGCAUGGAAUAAUAAUUUAGGACUUCGGUUCUAUUUUGUUGGUUUCUAGGACUGAAGUAAUGAUUGAUAGGGACAGUUGGGGGUGCUAGUAUUCCGCGGCCAGAGGUGAAAUUCUUGGAUUCGCGGAAGACUAACUACUGCGAAAGCAUUCACCAAGGAUGUCUUCUUUAAUCAAGAACGAAAGUUGGGGGAUCGAAGACGAUCAGAUACCGUCGUAGUCUCAACCAUAAACUAUACCGACUAAGGAUCAGUGAACGUUGAUUUACGACUUCAUUGGCACUUUGUGAGAAAUCAAAGUCUUUGGGUUCCGGGGGGAGUAUGGUCGCAAGGCUGAAACUUAAAGGAAUUGACGGAAGGGCACCACCAGGAGUGGAGUUUGCGGCUUAAUUCGACUCAACGCGGGGAAACUCACCAGGUUAGGACAGAGGAGAGAUUGACAGGUUGAGAGUCCUUUCUUGAUUCUUUGAUUGGUGGUGCAUGGCCGUUCUUAGUUCGUGGAGUGAUCUGUCUACUUAAUUGUGUUAACGAACGAGACCUUAACCUGCUAAUUAGCGCAUGGGUCGGUACCCCCGACCUUUCACCCUUUGGGUGCUUGCUAU
rnacentral:rRNA from 1 species